rnacentral:tRNA from 1 species
GGGGAUGUAGCUCAGCUGGGAGAGCGCGGCGUUCGCAUCGCCGAAGUCAGGGGUUCGAGUCCCCUCAUCUCCA